ACAAAGCACUUUUGUAAGUUGCUUUGGAUAAGAGCAUCUGCUAAAAAUCUUAAA
rfam:Astyanax mexicanus chromosome 25, whole genome shotgun sequence.